rnacentral:tRNA from 1 species
CGGGGCGUAGCGCAGCCUGGUAGCGCGUUAGCUUUGGGAGCUAAAAGUCGUGGGUUCGAAUCCCACCGCCCCGACCA